rnacentral:rRNA from 1 species
UACGGAGGGUGCGAGCGUUAAUCGGAAUUACUGGGCGUAAAGCGCGCGUAGGCGGUUUUUUAAGUCGGAUGUGAAAGCCCCGGGCUCAACCUGGGAACUGCAUCCGAUACUGGAAGACUAGAAUGCGGGAGAGGGAGGUAGAAUUCCAUGUGUAGCAGUGAAAUGCGUAGAUAUAUGGAGGAAUACCAGUGGCGAAGGCGGCCUCCUGGCUCGACAUUGACGCUGAGGUGCGAAAGCGUGGGGAGCAAACGGG